rnacentral:rRNA from 1 species
GAUGAACGCUGGCGGCGUGCCUAAUACAUGCAAGUCGAGCGAACAGACGAGGAGCUUGCUCCUCUGACGUUAGCGGCGGACGGGUGAGUAACACGUGGAUAACCUACCUAUAAGACUGGGAUAACUUCGGGAAACCGGAGCUAAUACCGGAUAAUAUAUUGAACCGCAUGGUUCAAUAGUGAAAGACGGUUUUGCUGUCACUUAUAGAUGGAUCCGCGCCGCAUUAGCUAGUUGGUAAGGUAACGGCUUACCAAGGCAACGAUGCGUAGCCGACCUGAGAGGGGGAUCGGCCACACUGGAACUGAGGCACGGUCCAGACUCCUACGGGAGGCAGCAGUAGGGAAUCUUCCGCAAUGGGCGAAAGCCUGACGGAGCAACGCCGCGUGAGUGAUGAAGGUCUUCGGAUCGUAAAACUCUGUUAUUAGGGAAGAACAAAUGUGUAAGUAACUAUGCACGUCUUGACGGUACCUAAUCUGAAAGCCACGGCUAACUACGUG